CGGGCACAGCCGCGCCCAAAAAUCAGCCCCCGAAGGUCGGGGUCCCAAGACCCCCCAGCGGAAAAAUGGCCAAAAAACGGGUGGGCUAUAGCCUAUGUGUGGGGCGUGGGCGAAGUUCGUCCGCGGGACUCGGAAUGGCCCCAGACUUGGCGGGCGGCCUCCGUGUGCCAAAAAUAGGCCACGGGCACAGCCGCGCCCAAAAAUCAGCCCCCGAAGGUCGGGGUCCCAAGACCCCCCAGCGGAAAAAUGGCCAAAAAACGGGUGGGCUAUAGCCUUGGUGGGGGGCGUGGGCGAAGUUCGUCCGCCGGACUCGGAAUGGCCCCAGACUUGGCGGCCGGCUUCUGUGUGCCAACAAUAGGCCACGGGCACAGCCGCGCCCAAAAAUCAGCACCCGAAGGUCGGGGUCCCAAGACCCCCCAGCGGAAAAAUGGCCAAAAAACGGGUGGGCUAUAGCCUUGGGGGGGGGGGGCGUGGGCGAAGUUCGUCCGCUGGACUCGGAAUGGCCCCAGACUUGGUGGGCGGCCUCCGUGUGCCAAAAAUAGGCCAGGGGCACAGCCGCGCCCAAAAAUCAGCCCCCCAAGGUCGGGGUCCCAAGACCCCCCAGCGGAAAAAUGGCCAAAAAAUGGGUGGGCUAUAGCCUAUGUGGGGGGCGUGGGCGAAGUUCGUCUGCGGGACUCGGAAUGGCCCCAGACUUGGCGGGCGGCCUCCGUGUGCCAAAAAUAGGCCACGGGCACAGACGCACCCAAAAAGCAGCCCCCGAGGGUGGGGUCCCAAGACCCCCCAGCGGGAAAAAAGCGAAAAAAGGGUGGGCUAUA
rnacentral:lncRNA from 1 species